rnacentral:rRNA from 1 species
CAAUAGCGUAUAUUAAAGCUGUUGCGGUUAAAAAGCUCGUAGUUGGAUUUCUGUCAAGGACAACUGGUCCGCCCUCCGGGUGAGCACAUAGUUUGGUCUUGGCAUCUUGCUGGAAACUGUUGCUGCACUUGGUUGUGUGGCGCAGCAUCCAGCACUUUCACUUUGAGGAAAUUGGAGUGUUUCAAGCAGGCACAUGCCUUUGGACACAGUAGCAUGGAAUAAUUAGAUUGGGCUUUUGCUCCAAUUUGUCGGUUUCUGGAGCUGAGGUGAGAAUUAAUGGGGAUUGUUGGGGGCAUCCGAAUUUAGCCGUCAGAGGUGAAAUUCUUGGAUCUGCUAAAGACGGACAACUGCGAAAGCGUUCGCCCAGGAUGUUUUCAUUGA